AUGAACGCUGGCGGCGUGCCUAAUCCAUGCAAGUCGAGCGAACAGACGAGGAGCUUGCUCCUCUGACGUUAGCGGCGGACGGGUGAGUAACACGUGGAUAACCUACCUAUAAGACUGGGAUAACUUCGGGAAACCGGAGCUAGUACCGGAUAAUAUAUUGAACCGCAUGGUUCAAUAGUGAAAGACGGUUUUGCUGUCACUUAUAGAUGGAUCCGCGCCGCAUUAGCUAGUUGGUAAGGUAACGGCUUACCAAGGCAACGAUGCGUAGCCGACCUGAGAGGGUGAUCGGCCACACUGGAACUGAGACACGGUCCAGACUCCUACGGGAGGCAGCAGUAGGGAAUCUUCCGCAAUGGGCGAAAGCCUGACGGAGCAACGCCGCGUGAGUGAUGAAGGUCUUCGGAUCGUAAAACUCUGUUAUUAGGGAAGAACAAAUGUGUAAGUAACUAUGCACGUCUUGACGGUACCUAAUCAGAAAGCCACGGCUAACUACGUG
rnacentral:rRNA from 1 species